GUGAAUCAUCAAAUUUUUGAACGCAAAUUGCACUCUCCACGGAGCGUAUGCCUGUUUGAGGGCCAGCGUCUAAAAAAUCGCCAACGUUUCUGUGUCACGGUGACGUUCGUCGGAACUUGGGCCAUCUUAAAUAUUUGGGGUUUAAGCGACUUAAACUAUUCUAUUUAAUUCAAUGAACGUGUUUCUAAGAUUCAUUUCUUUACACGUUUAAGGUAUCGAUUUUUAUUAGACGUGACCAUCAUAUCGGAUCUCGUCCAUAAUCAUUCUUUAACUGAC
rnacentral:misc_RNA from 1 species